GGUUGCUCUACACGCACAAAAAGAGCUCGGUUGGAUCUUGGGCUAUCCAAUCCAGAUAUUGAGGAAAUAGGGAGUUUGUCCGAAUUCGAAUAUGAAGAUAAAGAAGCUGAAGAUGAAGAUGAAGAUGAAAUGUAUCAAACACUAGAUACAGUUCUGAAAUCCAUGUUGAAAAAUGCAAAGGACAUGGUUUAUGCAUAUCCAAAAUAUCAAGCCAAUAUGAAUUCAUUGAGGCAAUUGGUCAUUUCCAAAACCGCCGAAAUAUCUGAGAAAGAUGCAAAAAUCAAGAGCUUAAAUUCCAGAAUCAAGAUAUUGGAAGCCGAAGACAAUGAAAUAACAGCAUUGAACAAUAAACUGAGAGAAUUCGAAGCCAAAUGUGGAGAAAUCGAAUCAUUGAAACAUGACCUGGAUGAAUUGAAGACCAAAAAUGAAAAAUUAGAAAAAGAAGUAAAGAAAAACACAACGUGUUUUGGUUGUGGCGUUCUUAUUGAAAAGAAGCGAUAUUGCAAAAUUGAGUGCAUCGAAAAAUAUUUCAUGAAUGAACGAAAAGAAGAAUCAAAACAAAAUUGAUGAACGAUGUUCAAUGAUACAAAUAUGUAUAAAGGUUGAGAUCUCGCCAAGGUUUCGGCGUAUUCGUUCAAAUCAAACUCAAAACCAAACCAACACAAUACGAGGUCGACACUGUAUGACAACACGAAGCUGCUCUUUUAUGCUACUACAUGGAUGAUGACAACGAAGUGAGCAUCAAUAUACAACAGGCGCAGAUGGUCUUCAGCAUAGCAAAGACGAUUCAGAUGAUUUAAUAAACCAUUCGAUCAAAAAGUUGCAGCAGCACAAAAAAUAAUGCCCACACUGAGAAAGCAAAGAUCGGCUUCACUUGUAUCGUAACCAAAGUACUUCUAUAUAUACAAGAUUGUCUAUCUGUGCUUAUUCUCAAUUUAUUUCUAAAAUCAUUAUUUUUUAUACUUAAGCAAAACAUUUUCUCAACUCAAGGGACUUAUUAAUUCUGUUAUUCGAACAAAACGUCACAUAUAAUAAGUGUAUAUAAAAAUCCCAUGUUCCUUCUUAAUAGAGUAACAGGACUAUGUUUCGCUUUGUUCGGCGAUUUUUUUAUGUUGCGUUUAGACUGGCAAAAUAAGUUACUUUUAUUCUCAGUGAAUCAUUUAA